UGGGGAAUUUUGCACAAUGGGCGCAAGCCUGAUGCAGCGACGCCGCGUGAGGGAUGAAGGCCUUCGGUUUGUAAACUUUUUUCGCUCAUGGUCAAGCCGCAGCUUUGGGUUGUGGUGAGGGUAGCGGGUAAAGAAGCGCCGGCUAACUACGUGCCAGCAGCCGCGGUAAUACGUAGGGCGCGAGCGUUGUCCGGAUUUAUUGGGCGUAAAGGGAUUCUUGGCGGUUGGCCGCGUCUGCCGUGAAAUCCUCUGGCUUAACUUGGGGGGUGGGGUGGGUAGGGGUUGACUGGAGUGCGGUAGGGGGGACGGGAAUUCCUGGUGUAGCGGUGGAAUGCGCAGAUAGCAGGAGGAACACCGGUGGCGAAGGCGGGUCUCUGGGCCGUUACUGACGCUGGGGAGCGAAAGCGUGGGGAGCGAACAGG
rnacentral:rRNA from 1 species